GACGAACCGUGCGAACGUUGUUCGGAAUCACUGGGCUUAAAGGGCGCGUAGGCGGGUGUGCAAGUCUGUGGUGAAAGCCUCCAGCUUAACUGGAGAAGUGCCAUGGAUACUGCACAUCUUGAGGAGGGUAGGGGCAUCUGGAACGGUCGGUGGAGCGGUGAAAUGCGUAGAUAUAGGAAGGAACACCAGUGGCGAAGGCGACCACCUGGACUGAUACUGACACUGAGGUGCGAAAGCGUGGGGAGCAAACAGG
rnacentral:rRNA from 1 species